GGGUUCUUAGCUCAGUUGGUUAGAGCUCUCGGCUCAUAACCGAGCGGUCGAGCGUUCGAGUCGCUCAGAACCCACCA
rnacentral:tRNA from 1 species